rnacentral:tRNA from 1 species
GGAGGAUGUAGUUCAAUAGGUAGAGCAACUGUAUGUGGCACAGUCCGUUCCCUGUUCAAGUCAGGGUGUCCU